UUGAACGCUGGCGGCAUGCCUUACACAUGCAAGUCGAACGGCAGCACGGGAGCAAUCCUGGUGGCGAAUGGCGAACGGGUGAGUAAUAUAUCGGAACGUGCCCGGUCGUGGGGGAUAACGUAGCGAAAGCUACGCUAAUACCGCAUACGAUCUACGGAUGAAANCGGGGGAUCGCAAGACCUCGCGCGAUUGGAGCGGCCGAUAUCAGAUUAGGUAGUUGGUGAGGUAAAGGCUCACCAAGCCGACGAUCUGUAGCUGGUCUGAGAGGACGACCAGCCACACUGGGACUGAGACACGGCCCAGACUCCUACGGGAGGCAGCAGUGGGGAAUUUUGGACAAUGGGCGCAAGCCUGAUCCAGCAAUGCCGCGUGCAGGAUGAAGGCCUUCGGGUUGUAAACUGCUUUUGUACGGAACGAAACGGUGAGCUCUAAUACAGUUUGCUAAUGACGGUACCGUAAGAAUAAGCACCGGCUAACUACGUG
rnacentral:rRNA from 1 species